rnacentral:tRNA from 1 species
AUGCAUGUAGUCGAAUGCCAUGAUCAGUUCCUUUCCGUGGGAUUCCGGGUCCGGAUCCCAUCCGCGUAUGCGUGC